AAAAAAAAAUAUAUAAGCAGAGUACUUUUGACUUUGACAGUAUUAGGACUGAAUGUGUGUUAUUCCCCAUGUCACAUCAGCAGUCUGGUAUGAACCAUAAAUUUUUUUUUUUUUUUUUUAGGACUCUUGGGCCCCUCAACAGAAACUGGGCCCUGGGCAGCUGCCCCUUAUGCCCCCCCCCCCAUGCAUAUGAAAAGACAGAUUAGACAAACAGGAGCCAGCCAGUUUAUACAUCUGAAACUUUGGGGCUUGCUUAGGAGUUUGAAAAUCAGUGCAGUAUUAUUAAAUAAAAUUUAAAUAAAAAAAAAAAGCAAAACUAUAAUUUUUUAAACAAAAACACUCCCAAGUGGGCUAUAUAAAUGGAUAUGACAUGCCCUGAUGAUCCCCUGUAACACAUACUGGAGGUGGGGGAGAAACGUGCGUUGGCACUAUGUGUUUAUGAGAACCCAGGUACCUGUCGAAUGUACCGUGGGCCAGGAUUUCUAGUGCACCUGUCCAGGCCUAUUCCCUGAAUCUUUUGUUUCUUCAGAGACAUUUUGGCUCUAUACAUGCAGCUGUACCUUUAAAGUGAGCUACGAAUCUUUCAGGUGUGACUCCGACAGUGGAGUAAGUGGUUUUGAGGAGUGUGCUAUUGGAGUGCAAUGGAAGAUGCGCCUAUACGAUAGCCACUCAUAGUCCCUGGUGACGAGAGACCACUCCCACUAUUGCUGAUGUCACACGCCAAGUAAUCAUCACAGGUGCUUGCAAGCAGAAGACAAGUGGAAACAACAAAAACCGGAGGACUUAAGCUAAGUAUAUGCCGUAUAUGCUGUGUUUUCCAACUGAAUUAUUACACUUGCUAGAGACUCUUUAUCCAGCAGUACUACUUGCGGCACAUUUAUUUGCCUUAAGAGAAGAUUCCCUGGUAUAUAUAAAGAGGAAAAACAAGCGCUUUUUGAUACAUAAUAUAGUUCACCUCUGUUUGGACUGCAGCCAUAUGUUUAACAUGUAUUUUGCCUACUUACUAUAAAUGUCCUAUAAACAUUAGAUUCUAUGUAACAUUCGUUAUAAACAUGAGUUUUCUGGUUAACCCCUUAUUGUUUAUGAUGUCUUUUUGUAAUUUAUAGCAUAGGGAAAGUAUUAGGUCUAAGUGCACUUAAAAUGUUGUAGAUUUUGCUGUCUUUAGUGGUAGCUGACAUUGACAGAUAAGAUAUCGCUAUAUACUUAAGUGUAUUUUUGGGAAAUUAUUAUAAAUAAAUUUUUGAAAGUCUUCUAUGUGUGCCGUUUAUUCCCUUGCUGUUCUAGGGUAAUCUUAUAUACCCUGGUAUUUUUUUCUAUCUUUCUCUUAUAUUUUAUAUAUAAAUGGAUAAUCUACAACACAUUUAUGCAAUGAAAAAUCAUGUGUACAAUGUCUCUUUUUAAAACAGGGCUUGAUAAACCGUGGCACCACUGGUGCAUUAAAAUUAGAUCCUGAUGCCCUGGCUUGGAUCCCUAAGAUAGCGAUUUGUGUAGCUUGCUUACCCUGCCACAUGCUGCUGCCAGCCACACCUACAAUUUAGGUUUGUGCAUCUAGAUUAUUUCUAGGUCAUGCUUGGGGCAAGGAGGUGUGGCGCUGUUUAGUCUCAUUGUGCUCCAAUGUAUUGCUCACAAACCGUAGCAGCAAAUGACAGUGCUGAUUAUCCUGCUGUACAGCUUGAUUUGCACCCCUCUGCAGUUUCUGCUCCCCUGUAUCCUGCUGGCAUAAGUCAGCCAGUGUGCAGCUGCUGCAUGAAGACUUCCAGAAUGAAGUAUACCAAUGCUGCUUCUCUGCAGCAGCCACGAACAGCAUGUGUAGCAGAAUUUGUUUUUGAUGUUCUGGUUCAAGUGUAGGACCCCAUCGCACCCCCCUCUCCCAAGAGCGGUGUCCUUGACAAGACAAAAGUGGAGUUUAGAAACUAAAUGUUAGACUUGGGUUAGAACUUCCCUGGGACCCGAACAUCUAACAUCUGAAAGGUUCUCCAUAUACAGUCUCAUGCAUUUGGUAAUAAUUUAGAUAUUGUGUAUUUUUAUGUUCAAUUAUUUUUUUUUGAUGUUCAAUUUUAUUUUAUGUCUUUAUAAUUUGGCACUGUGUAACCUGUGUUGAUAUUUUUGUUAUUAAACACACAGAAAUUCUCA